rnacentral:pre_miRNA from 1 species
UUGUUUUCAAAUAGGUCUAGAAUUUAGGUAGAAAAAAUGCUGCCUAUUUGAGAACUUGA